CUGGAGGGAGAGGGGCGGCGGCGUUGCUAGGAUACGGGGAGCGGCCGCCAUGACAGUGCCCCGCCGCCAUGACAGCGCCGCCAUGACGGCGCCGAGGCCGGGGCCGGCGGAGCCCCUGGCCGGGAGCGAGCCGGGCCGAGGCGGGUGUUUCUCACCUUUAUUUCAUGGAAACACGCAGUGAGUGAGCGAGCAACAGGUGGCUGCGGAGGAGGGGGCCUGGCCGGGGAGGGCUGGGGUAGGGGCCUGGCUGAGGCGCGGCCUGGUCUCGCCGGCCCGUUUGUGAGGAGAAAAAAAGCAGAUAUAACUCAAAUAACCCUCCCGGCCGCGUCCCGCCGCUUCGAAAAUAAACCCUCUCCUCUUGUACCACCGGGAGGUGGGGAGCGGCCUCCCUUGUCACUGUGGAUCCCCUUAAGCGAUGCGGGGGGCGGGAGGGGAGAGGAGGUUCCUGUGCUUUCAGUCGACCUUUGGGAGCUGCCAUUUCAUGGCUGCGAUACAGAGACCCCCCUCCCCAGAGGGUCCCCUCCCCGAAGGCUCACUUCCUGGGGAAGGGGGUCCAGGUUUGUGCUGCGGUGAGGUCUCCUGUGCCACCCAGGGCAGAGGGAUCCUCGUUGGGAGGGGGCUCAGCCCCCCAAAAUGGGUCCAGCUGGCGGGGCGGGCAUCGCCAGGCGCCGUGCUGGGGGGAGCUCAGGCGGACGAGCCGGCAAAGUCAUCCGUAUCUCUUCUCAUCUCUUGUAACUGGAGUGCCAGGAGCCAGGUGGAUUAUUUUCUUCUUUCUUCUAACCUCUUGUUUUGACUGAAAUGGUAGAAAAAAAGUUCCCCUCGGGCGCUCGCAGAGGCGCUGGCGGGGCCGAGCAGGUGGUCCUGGGUUCUAGAUCACGUUCUCGAAGAUCUGCAUGGAGCUCAUGAUGUCCUUGUCCUGGUUGGGGCGGGAGGGAUAGGUCAGAGCUCCCGGUCCCCCUCCUCCCGUCGGCCCCGGGGUGACCAGAGCUGUCAUCCCCUGUCUCUCCCAGCCCCCCCUGGCACAUCAUUUUGGGACGGGAUGCAGAACGGGCUUGUGUCUUGGACUCGAAGACCUGGCAGUGAGGAGGAGGAGGAUGGCGGUGAUGCCGAAGCCCACCCGGAGCUCCUCACCUUCUGGCAGGUCUCCAGGAACUCCUCAAAGGUCACCACACCGUCACCGUUCCUGUCCAUCUUCUGCAAGGGAAGAGCAGGGGCUCAGCGGUGACAUCCCCGUCCCCGGCAGCAGUGACGGCCCCCAGCCCGUGAUACAUGGGGGGUUUUGGUGGCUGCCGGGAGGGGACGAGGCGGGAUGGUCUCACCUGGAAGAACAGCUCCACGUGCUCGGCAGGCGCGCUGUCCCUCAGGGUGGGGUGGGUGCAGUGCCCCAUCAUGUCGUAGAUGGACUUCAUGAUCUCCAGCAUUUCCUAGGAAGGGAUGGGGGGGGGGCUCAGGGUGACGAGAAUGCUCUGAAUGAGGGCACCUUUGUCCCCCCACACCUCUUUCCACCGUCCCCGUCCCUCUCUGGGUGUCCCCCGCCAUGCUCCCACCCUGCCCCGCCUCCCCCAGCCCUCGUGUGUCUCCCCUGUCCCCGUGUCACCUCCUUAGUGAUGUAGCCGUCUUUAUUAAUAUCGUAGAGGUUGAAAGCCCACUUCAGCUUCUGGUGCACUGUCCCCCGCAGCAAGAUGGAGAGGCCAACGACAAAAUCCUGCCAGAGGAACCACGGCUGUGAGCGGAGAUGUCCCAUGGGUACCGCCAGCUCACCCAGACCCCAGGGACGGACCCGUGUCCCCCCUGGCUCGGCCGUUUGGCCCCCUCCAAUGGUGCCGCGGCGCUGCCAUCGAUCACGGGAUGCCCGGGGGAUUUUUUUUCCUAUUGAUCCCGUUUCUAUUCUUGCUUGUAGCUAUUUUUAAUCACCACGGUAAAACCGGCACUGGCCCCCCCCACCAGCCACCCCUGCCGCAGUGCCUGGAACUCUCCCGGCACAGGAUCCUGCCGUCGAGGAGACCGAAGAUUUUGGCUGUCGCUGCUGCGCCGAGCUUUUAUCCCCGACCGCACACGGGUGAGGAAGAUCUGAUGAAUCACGCCGCUGGGCACGCUUACAGCCGGCCGCGGCUCGAGGAGCACGGCACUGGCAUGGCUUUUCCCAGCGAGAAGCUGGGCACGGAGGCGGCGCCGGGACACUCACCUGGAAGCAGAGAGCCCCAUUACGGUCGGCGUCAAAGGCGUCAAAUAAGAAGUGAGCAUAGGUGCUGGCGUCUGCGAGGGGAGGAAGGCGAGAGCCGGUGAAGCCCCCACCCCGGCACGCGCCGGGAUCGGGAUUUGGCGUUUUCUCCGGAUGCAGCCCCCCCACCGGCACCCCCACGCUGGCCUUGGGGGUCCCCCCGACUCACCGCCUUGGGGGAAGAACUGCGAGUAGAUGAGCUUGAAGGUCUCCUCGUCCACAAGGCCGCUGGGACACUCCUGGGGAGGAGAGCGGGCGCCCGGUGAACCCCGGCUCCACCAAAAUCCACCCCCCAGCCCUGGCGGUGGGGGGCCGGGGCGAGGGUCCCCCCGACACUCACGUUCUUGAAGCCACGGUAGAGGGACUGCAGCUCCUUCUUGGUGAACUUGGUCUGCGCCAGCAGCUGCUCCAGCCCCUCAGGUUGGUGCCGUAUGGACGAAAGCUCCAACUCGGCAUCGCCGCCGUCUGCUGGGAGACGCCAGCAAAGACCCCCGUGGGGGUCCAGCAGCCUCUCCACAUCAUCCCACGCUUGAUCCCGGGCUGUUUCCCGCCCAGAUCUGACCCUGCUUAAAACCAACCCCCCCCCCAACCCGGUGGCAGACCCCAAAUUCCCCUCGUGCCUGGAGGAAAACCGGGGAACUCUGGGUUUCACAUCCCGAGGGAGAAGACAGCCAACUCAGAGGGUUUCCCCAGGAGCCGCCGAACCCGUGCCCGCCUCCAGCAGCACAUUCCCAGGGCGCAGAACAUCCUGGAGCCGCCUCUCACCCCGACCCCGCUAAUGCUCCCUCCCGCCCGCGCCUGGCCUGGCGGAAGGUAAUUAAUAAAUGAUGGUUCAUUAAUAA